rnacentral:rRNA from 1 species
GCCUAAUACAUGCAAGUCGAGCGCGGGAAGCGAGCUGAUCCCCUUCGGGGGUGACGCUCGUGGAACUAGCGGCGGACGGGUGAGUAACACGUGGGUAACCUGCCUGUAAGAUCCGAAUAACUCCGGGAAACCGGAGCUAAUGCCGGGUAAUACUUUCUUUCGCAUGAAGGAAAGUUGUAAGAAGGCUUCUUGCUAUAACUUACAGANGGACCCGCGGCGCAUUAGCUAGUUGGUGAGGUAACGGCUCACCAAGGCGACGAUGCGUAGCCGACCUGAGAGGGUGAUCGGCCACACGGGGACUGAGACACGGCCCAGACUNCUACGGGAGGCAGCAGUAGGGAAUCUUCCGCAAUGGACGAAAGUCUGACGGAGCAACGCCGCGUGAACGAUGAAGGUCUUCGGAUCGUAAAGUUCUGUUGUUAGGGAAGAACAAGUACCGUUCGAAUAGGGCGGUACCUUGACGGUACCUAACGAGGAAGCCCCGGCUAACUACGUGCCAGCAGCCGCGGUAAUACGUAGGGGGCAAGCGUUGUCCGGAAUUAUUGGGCGUAAAGCGCUCGCAGGCGGUUCCUUAAGUCUGAUGUGAAAGCCCACGGCUCAACCGUGGANGGUCAUUGGAAACUGGGGAA